rnacentral:rRNA from 1 species
UACGGGGGGGGCAAGCGUUGUUCGGAAUUACUGGGCGUAAAGGGCGCGUAGGCGGCCUACUAAGUCGGACGUGAAAUCCCUCGGCUCAACCGAGGAACUGCGUCCGAUACUGGCAGGCUGGAAUCCGGGAGAGGGAUGUGGAAUUCCAGGUGUAGCGGUGAAAUGCGUAGAUAUCAGGAGGAACACCAAUUGCGAAGGCAGCUCGCUGGGACGUUACUGACGCUGAGACGCGAAAGCGUGGAGAGCAAACAGG